rnacentral:lncRNA from 1 species
AACUGCUACUUUCUGCCACGAUUUCCCACAUGUGUUUGAUUCAAUAGAAUGCUCUGAUACCAAUUAUUGAAUCAAAACAAUUUUUCAAUCUCAAACUCAAAGUCUUUAUUAAUCUCUCUCAAUGCUUUGGAAAACUCACUCAAAAACUAAAGCUCUCAAAAUCUUUAUGUUAUGUCACACUUUGGCAUCUCCAUAUAUAUAAGAAUAAUAAGUCUUAAACACACUAGAUAAUAGAUAUUUAGAUAACUCCUAAACACCAAGGAAUUUUCUAUUUCCUAAUCCAUAUCUCGGUAAGAAAUAGAUAACUUGCUCUCCAAAUUAGUUCAAGCUUAAUCCAACAGCCACUGCCUUCGCC